rnacentral:misc_RNA from 1 species
AACCAUAGAAACCUGCGGAGUACCUGCGGAAGGAUCAUUACCGAGUUUACAACUCCCAAACCCCUGUGAACAUACCACUUGUUGCCUCGGCGGAUCAGCCCGCUCCCGGUAAAACGGGACGGCCCGCCAGAGGACCCCUAAACUCUGUUUCUAUAUGUAACUUCUGAGUAAAACCAUAAAUAAAUCAAAACUUUCAACAAUGGAUCU